rnacentral:rRNA from 1 species
CCUACGGGAGGCAGCAGUGAGGAAUAUUGGUCAAUGGGCGAGAGCCUGAACCAGCCAAGUCGCGUGAAGGAUGACGGCCCUACGGGUUGUAAACUUCUUUUGUCAGGGAGCAAUUGGGUCCACGCGUGGGCUUAGCGAGAGUACCUGAAGAAAAAGCAUCGGCUAACUCCGUGCCAGCAGCGGCGGUAAUACGGAGGAUGCGAGGGUUAUCCGGAUUUGUUGGGUUAAAAGGGUGCGUAGGCGGAAUAUCAAGUUAGCGGUAAAAAUUCGGGGCUAAACCCAGUCGUGCCGUUGAAACUGAUGUUCUAGAGUGGGCGAGAAGUAUGCGGAAUGCGUGGUGUAGCGGUGAAAUGCAUAGAGAUCACGCAGAACUCCGAUUGCGAAGGCAGCAUACCGGCGCUCAACUGACGCUGAGGCACGAAAGCGUGGGGAUCGAACAGGAUUAGAUACCCGGGUAGUC